CUGGGCAUAUUGCUGUUGUCUUUUAACCUGGGCAUGUUGCGCCAAAAAAAACAGAGAUAUUGUCUUUUAACCUGGGCAUCUUGCUCUUGUCUAAUAGUGCAGAUUAGAGAUCUGUUCAAUAAAUAUUAUCUUUACCAUACCAUUUUCUCUUCUAUACAGAAAGCAGUAAGAAUCUAAGAAAGCCGAAGCCUUCCAGCACACUGCAGCAAUAAGAAGAGCGCAAGUCGAACAGGGACACAGCUCACACACUACGGUGGACAGAAAGGUAUUUAACUGUUGGUACAAAGCUGGUUGGAGAUACCUCUGUCCUGUGAUGCUUUUUCAAUGUAGUUGGAGUUCAAGUUAAAGAUGCGAUCUGAGUAGUACUGUAAUAUGCAGGUAACUACAUUGCUGAAACAAUUGAUGAUGGCAAACCUAGGGCAUGAUGGGCACCGUUGAACAUAACAAAGGUGGAUCUCCGUCCUUUGCAGCAACAGCCGUCGCCUCGCAACAGCCGUCGAGCGAAGGUUGUGGUUCGGACGCCGAGGUUGCGGUCUAGUUGUGCUGAUUGCACAGCUGGGUCGAUGGAGCUCCUACGCGAGGAAGAACUGGCGUUUCUGUCCCUGGUGGCGACGUGCGUUGGCGGGUCGAUGGAGCUCGUUCGAUGGUUUGAUUUUUGGUAGAUUUUUUUUUUUGGUAGAUGGACCUCGUUCGUGGGUUGCUGAACUGUUUUGUUUGUUGGCUGGGCGUGUGAUCGUGGGGUUUGGCUCGUUUGACUGGUGGUCCAUGGGCCGAAUAUCGGAUGAGUUGCCCUUGUUUUUUUUGGGCUUGCGGGAUGGAUUUUGUGCGGGCGUGUGGGACACCGCGCGAUGGCUGUCGUACGAGGCGGGGGGAUCGAACGAGGUGGUUGAACCAUCACGACGUCCGAUCCCCCUUUAAUAGUAGAGAUUCGCAAUAUCCAGAUUGCAUAUCAUAGUUAUU
rnacentral:lncRNA from 1 species